UCAUUGAAUGGCUGAAGUGAAAGCAUUGGUCUCUUAAACCACUCUAUAGUAAACAAUUACUUUCAAUGAA
rnacentral:tRNA from 1 species